rnacentral:rRNA from 1 species
UACGGGGGGGGCAAGCGUUGUUCGGAAUUACUGGGCGUAAAGGGUUUGUAGGUGGCCCGCUAAGUCACACGUGAAAUCCCUCAGCUUAACUGGGGAACUGCGUGUGAGACUGGCAGGCUCGAGGGCAGGAGAGGAACGCGGAAUUCCAGGUGUAGCGGUGAAAUGCGUAGAUAUCAGGAGGAACACCGAUGGCGAAGGCAGGUCCCUGGGCUGACACUGACGCUCAUGCACGAAAGCGUGGGGAGCAAACAGG